GACGAACGCUGGCGGCGUGCUUAACACAUGCAAGUCGAACGGAAAGGCCCUGCUUUUGUGGGGUGCUCGAGUGGCGAACGGGUGAGUAACACGUGAGUAACCUGCCCUUGACUUUGGGAUAACUUCAGGAAACUGGGGCUAAUACCGUAUAGGAGCUCCUGCUGCAUGGUGGGGGUUGGAAAGUUUCGGCGGUUGGGGAUGGACUCGCGGCUUAUCAGCUUGUUGGUGGGGUAGUGGCUUACCAAGGCUUUGACGGGUAGCCGGCCUGAGAGGGUGACCGGCCACAUUGGGACUGAGAUACGGCGCAGACUCGUACGGGAGGCAGCAGUGGGGAAUAUUGCACAAUGGGCGGAAGCCUGAUGCAGCAACGCCGCGUGCGGGAUGACGGCCUUCGGGUUGUAAACCGCUUUCGCCUGUGACGAAGCGUGAGUGACGGUAAUGGGUAAAGAAGCACCGGCUAACUACGUG
rnacentral:rRNA from 1 species